rnacentral:rRNA from 1 species
GACCAUCCUCCAAGGCUAAAUACUCCUGACUGACCGAUAGUGAACCAGUACCGUGAGGGAAAGGCGAAAAGAACCCCGGCGAGGGGAGUGAAAAAGAACCUGAAACCGUGUACGUACAAGCAGUGGGAGCACGCUUAGGCGUGUGACUGCGUACCUUUUGUAUAAUGGGUCAGCGACUUAUAUUCUGUAGCAAGGUUAACCGAAUAGGGGAGCCGAAGGGAAACCGAGUCUUAACUGGGCGUUAAGUUGCAGGGUAUAGACCCGAAACCCGGUGAUCUAGCCAUGGGCAGGUUGAAGGUUGGGUAACACUAACUGGAGGACCGAACCGACUAAUGUUGAAAAAUUAGCGGAUGACUUGUGGCUGGGGGUGAAAGGCCAAUCAAACCGGGAGAUAGCUGGUUCUCCCCGAAAGCUAUUUAGGUAGCGCCUCGUGAAUUCAUCUCCGGGGGUAGAGCACUGUUUCGGCAAGGGGGUCAUCCCGACUUACCAACCCGAUGCAAACUGCGAAUACCGGAGAAUGUUAUCACGGGAGACACACGGCGGGUGCUAACGUCCGUCGUGAAGAGGGAAACAACCCAGACCGCCAGCUAAGGUCCCAAAGUCAUGGUUAAGUGGGAAACGAUGUGGGAAGGCCCAGACAGCCAGGAUGUUGGCUUAGAAGCAGCCAUCAUUUAAAGAAAGCGUAAUAGCUCACUGGUCGAGUCGGCCUGCGCGGAAGAUGUAACGGGGCUAAACCAUGCACCGAAGCUGCGGCAGCGACGCUGAUGCGUUGUUGGGUAGGGGAGCGUUCUGUAAGCCUGCGAAGGUGUGCUGUGAGGCAUGCUGGAGGUAUCAGAAGUGCGAAUGCUGACAUAAGUAACGAUAAAGCGGGUGAAAAGCCCGCUCGCCGGAAGACCAAGGGUUCCUGUCCAACGUUAAUCGGGGCAGGGUGAGUCGACCCCUAAGGCGAGGCCGAAAGGCGUAGUCGAUGGGAAACAGGUUAAUAUUCCUGUACUUGGUGUUACUGCGAAGGGGGGACGGAGAAGGCUAUGUUGGCCGGGCGACGGUUGUCCCGGUUUAAGCGUGUAGGCUGGUUUUCCAGGCAAAUCCGGAAAAUCAAGGCUGAGGCGUGAUGACGAGGCACUACGGUGCUGAAGCAACAAAUGCCCUGCUUCCAGGAAAAGCCUCUAAGCAUCAGGUAACAUCAAAUCGUACCCCAAACCGACACAGGUGGUCAGGUAGAGAAUACCAAGGCGCUUGAGAGAACUCGGGUGAAGGAACUAGGCAAAAUGGUGCCGUAACUUCGGGAGAAGGCACGCUGAUAUGUAGGUGAAGUCCCUUGCGGAUGGAGCUGAAAUCAGUCGAAGAUACCAGCUGGCUGCAACUGUUUAUUAAAAACACAGCACUGUGCAAACACGAAAGUGGACGUAUACGGUGUGACGCCUGCCCGGUGCCGGAAGGUUAAUUGAUGGGGUCAGCGCAAGCGAAGCUCUUGAUCGAAGCCCCGGUAAACGGCGGCCGUAACUAUAACGGUCCUAAGGUAGCGAAAUUCCUUGUCGGGUAAGUUCCGACCUGCACGAAUGGCGUAAUGAUGGCCAGGCUGUCUCCACCCGAGACUCAGUGAAAUUGAACUCGCUGUGAAGAUGCAGUGUACCCGCGGCAAGACGGAAAGACCCCGUGAACCUUUACUAUAGCUUGACACUGAACAUUGAGCCUUGAUGUGUAGGAUAGGUGGGAGGCUUUGAAGUGUGGACGCCAGUCUGCAUGGAGCCGACCUUGAAAUACCACCCUUUAAUGUUUGAUGUUCUAACGUUGACCCGUAAUCCGGGUUGCGGACAGUGUCUGGUGGGUAGUUUGACUGGGGCGGUCUCCUCCUAAAGAGUAACGGAGGAGCACGAAGGUUGGCUAAUCCUGGUCGGACAUCAGGAGGUUAGUGCAAUGGCAUAAGCCAGCUUGACUGCGAGCGUGACGGCGCGAGCAGGUGCGAAAGCAGGUCAUAGUGAUCCGGUGGUUCUGAAUGGAAGGGCCAUCGCUCAACGGAUAAAAGGUACUCCGGGGAUAACAGGCUGAUACCGCCCAAGAGUUCAUAUCGACGGCGGUGUUUGGCACCUCGAUGUCGGCUCAUCACAUCCUGGGGCUGAAGUAGGUCCCAAGGGUAUGGCUGUUCGCCAUUUAAAGUGGUACGCGAGCUGGGUUUAGAACGUCGUGAGACAGUUCGGUCCCUAUCUGCCGUGGGCGCUGGAGAACUGAGGGGGGCUGCUCCUAGUACGAGAGGACCGGAGUGGACGCAUCACUGGUGUUCGGGUUGUCAUGCCAAUGGCACUGCCCGGUAGCUAAAUGCGGAAGAGAUAAGUGCUGAAAGCAUCUAAGCACGAAACUUGCCCCGAGAUGAGUUCUCCCUGACUCCUUGAGAGUCCUGAAGGAACGUUGAAGACGACGACGUUGAUAGGCCGGGUGUGUAAGCGCAGCGAUGCGUUGAGCUAACCGGUACUAAUGAACCGUGAGGCUUAACCUU